rnacentral:tRNA from 1 species
GGUUCCGUAGUGUAGUGGUUAUCACGUUCGCUUCACACGCGAAAGUUCUCCGGUUCGAUCCCGGACGGAACCA